rnacentral:rRNA from 1 species
GGUAAGGUAACGGCUUACCAAGGCGACGAUGCGUAGCCGACCUGAGAGGGUGAUCGGCCACACUGGGACUGAGACACGGCCCAGACUCCUACGGGAGGCAGCAGUAGGGAAUCUUCCGCAAUGGACGAAAGUCUGACGGAGCAACGCCGCGUGAACGAUGAAGGCUUUCGGGUCGUAAAGUUCUGUUGUGAGGGAAGAACAAGGAUCGUGCGA